rnacentral:rRNA from 1 species
GCUAUCAGGCGUCGAGCGGCGGACGGGUGAGUAAUACUUAGGAAUCUACCUAGUAGUGGGGGAUAGCUCGGGGAAACUCGAAUUAAUACCGCAUACGACCUACGGGAGAAAGGGGGCAACUUGUUGCUCUCGCUAUUAGAUGAGCCUAAGUCGGAUUAGCUAGAUGGUGGGGUAAAGGCCUACCAUGGCGACGAUCUGUAGCUGGUCUGAGAGGAUGAUCAGCCACACCGGGACUGAGACACGGCCCGGACUCCUACGGGAGGCAGCAGUGGGGAAUAUUGGACAAUGGGGGCAACCCUGAUCCAGCCAUGCCGCGUGUGUGAAGAAGGCCUUUUGGUUGUAAAGCACUUUAAGCAGUGAAGAAGACUCCAUGGUUAAUACCCAUGGACGAUGACAUUAGCUGCAGAAUAAGCACCGGCUAACUCUGUGCCAGCAGCCGCGGUAAUACAGAGGGUGCAAGCGUUAAUCGGAAUUACUGG